AUUGAACGCUGGCGGCAUGCCUUACACAUGCAAGUCGAACGGUAACAGGUUAAGCUGACGAGUGGCGAACGGGUGAGUAAUGUAUCGGAACGUGCCCAGUCGUGGGGGAUAACUGCUCGAAAGAGCAGCUAAUACCGCAUACGACCUGAGGGUGAAAGCGGGGGAUCGCAAGACCUCGCGCGAUUGGAGCGGCCGAUAUCAGAUUAGGUAGUUGGUGAGGUAAAGGCUCACCAAGCCGACGAUCUGUAGCUGGUCUGAGAGGACGGCCAGCCACACUGGGACUGAGACACGGCCCAGACUCCUACGGGAGGCAGCAGUGGGGAAUUUUGGACAAUGGGCGCAAGCCUGAUCCAGCCAUGCCGCGUGCGGGAAGAAGGCCUUCGGGUUGUAAACCGCUUUUGUCAGGGAAGAAAAGGUUCUGGCUAAUACCUGGGACUCAUGACGGUACCUGAAGAAUAAGCACCGGCUAACUACGU
rnacentral:rRNA from 1 species